GUCAGUGCAGAACUCUAUGGGAAAGAUGUUAUCAACCUUAAAGAUAUUAUCAAGGAUUUGUAUAAGAACUCUGACUUCAAACCUUCACUUGUAGCACCUGGAGGAUUUUAUAACCAGCAGUGGUAUGCUAAGUUUCUUCAGGUUUCAGGUCCAGUCUUGACUCAUCAUAUAUACAACUUAGGUGCAGGUGUCGAUCCCAACCUCACAAAUAAGAUAUUAGAUCCCCAUUAUUUGAGCAAGAUAUCAGAAACAUUCAGUGGUCUNAUUCAACAGAAUGGUCCUUGGGCUUCUGCAUGGGUUGGAGAAUCUGGUGGGGCCUAUAACAGUGGUGGUCGUCAUGUGUCAAAUACAUUUAUCAACAGCUUUUGGUACUUAGAUCAGCUCGGAAUGGGGGCCAAGUACCAUACUAAAGUGUAUUGCAGGCAAACAUUAAUCGGUGGAAACUAUGGUCUUCUGAAUACAACUACAUUUGUACCCAAUCCUGACUACUACAGUGCCCUUCUCUGGCAUCGGCUUAUGGGGAAAGGUGUUCUACCUGUUGGCAGCGAUGCUUCACCGUAUCUACGUGCUUAUGCCCAUUGCUCAAAAGGACG
rnacentral:misc_RNA from 1 species